CCCUUUCAGUAAUGAGGCUCCUGAAUGAUUGCAUAGUGUCAGAGUCAGACUGUGGAAGUAUUCCUUGCUGUCUUCCCUCUGAGAACAGC